CUCUGACCCCGAGUUCCCCUACCUCGAGCUUGAGCUCCGAUCUGACCUCGAGCUUAUUAGCCGACUUGAGCUUGUCAUUCUCCAACGUCUAGUCUCAGGAAGAUCGUUAUAUCCAUCUAGGGGAUAUAGAGAGAGAGAGUUUGAGACUGAAGAAGAGUGAGACGGGAAGAAGUUGAUGGUCGAUUGGAACAGAAAUUGAGUUAACUGAUCAUCCCAGUUAACGUAGAGCAGAUUCUUCUGAGGAAAGAGGUCUUACUUUUGGAGUCUCUGUUGGAGGAAAAUUUGGGUACAGCAAGAAGGAAACUGGGAGAAAAGAUGAAAUAGACAAUUGUUUUGAGCAGGAGAUGAAUGACAACCAAAAAGAUGAAGUGAUUUGCUAGGGAAGCAAAAGCAUGAGGUGGUCUGCCAGUGAUAUGGCUUUGUCGCAUCUGACAGAUAGGGAGCAGGUUGUACAGAUCAUGGAUCCUGCACUGGAGGGUCAAUACUCGAUGAAGGAGGUCAUUCAGGAUCCACCACUAUCAAAUUUGCAAGUAUUUUGCUCCUCAGCCCCACCUCACUGGCAAAAGGUUAUGCAAAGAGAAGAAUGUUCCUUAAAGCUGAAGCCUUUGUGAAUGAAAUGGGUCUGAGCUGACCUCACAAGGUCAGCAAUGGAAUCGCCACCAGAUGGGUUUCUCUGUUUUGCAUUGCCAGUUUCUUCUUGGGUGUUCUUGUUAUCAACAGGAGUUUUGGUUGGAGUUUUAACUUUUUGGUGGCCAACUGGUCAUAGAGUGCUGAUCAACAUGGUUAAGCCUUUCACAAAGGAUGGUUCUUAUUACUUCGGCGACUCUUGAUGGUGAUAAAGUAUCACAGUUCUUUUCGAAUUGCCCGGUGCUGAAUGUUCCGGGGAAGCUAUACCCUGUGGAGAUAUUGUACAGCAAUGAGCAUCCUAAGAGCUAUCUUGAGUCGUCUUUGAAAACAGCUCUCGAUAUACAUAUUAAGGAACCUGAAGGAGAUGUCUUGAUAUUCAUGACUGGGCAGGAUGACAUUGAGAAGUUGGUCUCUAAGUUAGAAGAUAGAGUUAGAAGCCUGGAUUUCAGGAUCUGUCUUGGAUGCCAUAAUCCUUCCUCUUCACGGUUCUCUGCAGCCUGAAAUGCAGGCAAGCAAAGACUUGACUUGUGACUUUUGAGGGCUUUAUGCUCAUAAUAUUUUGUUCCUAUCAAACAAUACUUUGUGGUUCAUACCUUUUCUUUUCUAUGCAGGUACAUGUAUUUAGUCCUCCACCACCUAAUUGUAGGAGAUUUAUUGUUGCCACAAACAUUGCUGAAACUUCUUUGACUAUUGAUGGUGUUGUACUGUUGAUAUUAACAGAAACCAAGCCAAAUCCUAAAGGCGAAAACCCACAAGCAUUGAUAUAGAGAGCUGCAGUCAUAUAUGAGCUGAAGACACAAUGCAACUUCUAAAAGUUCCUCACAAGGUGGCCAGACAGAGAGGGACUCAGAUUACUCUUCAAAUAAGAUUGGUGCCAUGAUGAGCCAUUAUCUGUAUCUACCAUCCUAUUACGAAUUAAUCGUUUAUAAUUGGCUUGCAGUUUAUAUAUAUCAAGGCAGCAAAGCCACCAGGUAUUUGUAGUGGGCGGUAAAGGAUCGGAAAGGGUAUACCCAACAACAACUUGAUGAGGUCCGCAUUGAAGUAGCCGACUACUUACAGACUCUGUUGUAGGUUCUGACCAGUUUCUUGAUUUUGAGUUAGUUUUAACUAACUUUUUUGUAGCAAUUAGGAACAAACAAGAAUACUAAUUGCUAGGCUAGCCUUGUAGUAUAUAGGUGCAUAUAUGAAUUGGGGUUUUAUUUUGCCCAUUUUGUAAACUGUUAAGGAUGAUGAAUGUCGGAUAUAAUACCCCAAUUUGCAAUUUAUAAUCACAGUUCUAUUUUGUGGACAGAA